rnacentral:lncRNA from 1 species
GAGCUUCACCAGCUGGAGACAGCAUUGGCAAGGAGAGCUUCCAAUAGGAUAUGAGCGCUGAUGCUUCUCAUCAAAACCCUGCGCCUGAGCCUGACGAUCGGAACCAUCAGAACGCAAGGAGGCAAAGGUCUGAUGGAUCAAAGGGGACCCACCGGUUUGAUGCUAACCUACUGGAGGAAGGGAGGUCGUCUCGUCCGCUCAGAGGGAGCCAUUAUGAUUCUCAUAUUAAAGUCAUGGAAACUGAGUCCCGGAGAGUUAAGGAACCUGCCCACGUCUACAGAGAUGAGGUUGAAACAGAACCCAAAGCAAGGGGGAAGUCACACGGAGGAGUGCAGCUGGGAGACCAUCGGCUAACACCUUGGUGAGCCUUUUUCUGUGUGCCCUCAGUGUUCUGAAAUCGUCCAUGCAUUUAACUCAGUCCACCCUCCCUUUCUAAAAGCUUUGUACUUUGUGAUAAAUCACUUCCAUGAAUACCAGUGGGAAGGAACAAAGGGGCCCUCAAACACACACCUACAGAAAUGUAGGUCCUUUUUUUUUUGGCCUCGCCUGUGCUAUGUGGAAGUUCCCAGGCCAGGGACCGAACCUGUGCCACAUCAGCGAUCCAAGCAGCUGCAAUGACAAUACCAGAUUCUUAACCCACAGUGCCACAAGAGAACUCUGGUGCAGUCUCCUUUGAAGGCAAUUUGGCAACAUCUAUUGAAAUUUAAAAUUCACAUUGUGUUUACACCCAGAAAUUCCACUUCUAAGUAUUAAACUGGACCAAGAAGUAUGUACAGAGAUAUUCAUGGUAGCAAGAUCCGUAAUAGCCAAGGAUUAGAAACAUCCUAAAUAUUUAUCAUUAGGAAUGCUAGGGGAAUGUUAAAAAAUAAAGCAAAUGGGGAGUUCCCAUCGUGGCGCAGCAGAAACGGAUCCGACUAGGAACCAUGAGGUUGCAGGUUCGAUCCCUGGCCUUGCUCAGUGGGUUAAGGAUCCGGCAUUGCCGUGAGCUGUGGUGUAGGUCACAGACGAGGCUCAGAUCUGGCGUUGCUGUGGCUGUCGUGUAGGCUGGUAGUCGUAGCUCCAAUUGGUCCCCUAGCCUAGGAACCUCCAUAUGCUGUAGGUGCGCCCCUAAAAAGCCAAAAAAAACCAACCCCCAACAUAGUUAUAGAGAACAGGUGGUUGCCAGAGAGGAGGAAGUUGUUGGGGAGGAAAAAAAUAAGUGAGGGAGAUUAAGAGGUACAAACUUCCAGUUGCAAAAUAAAUGAGUCACAUGUAUGAAAUGAACAGUGUGGGGAAUGCAGUUAAUAACUAAUAUCUGUUUAUGGAGAUUUAUCAUAACUAGACUUAUUGAAAUGCAGAGAAAUAUCCAAUCACUAUGUUGUAUGAUAGGAACUAACACAGUGUGGUAGGACAAUUAUACUUCAAACACAAAGAAACAAACAGACUCAUAGAAAAGAGAUCAGAUUUUGUUUGUUUGUUUGUUUGUUUUAGGGCCGCACCUACAGCAUAUGGAGGUUCCCAGGCUAGGGGCCCAAUUGGAGCUGCAGCUGCUGGCCUACACCACAGCCACAGGAACGCAGGAUCCAAGCCACAUCUGUGACCUACACCACAGCCUACGGCAACGCUGGAUCCUUAACCCACUGAGCGAGGCCAGGGUUCAAACCCGCAACCUCGUGCUUCCUAGUCGGAUUCGUUUCCCCUGCGCCAUGACGGGAACUCCGAGAUCAGAUUUUUGAUUAUCAGAGGCAGGGCGGAGGGAUGGGUAUUGUAGGUCGGUGGUCAAAAGGUAUAAACUUCUAGUUAUAAGAUACAUAAGUCCUGAUGAUGUACUGUACACAUGAUAAAUAUAAUUAACACUGCUGUGUUAUCUAUGAAAGUUGUGAAGAGACUAACUCCUAAGAGCUCUUAUCACAAGGGGAAAAUUUCUUUUCUAUUUCUUUAAUUCUGGAUCUACAUCUGAUGAGGGAUGUUCGCUAAACUUGUGGUUACCAUUUCAUGAUGUACAUAAGUCAAAUCAUUAUGCUGCACACCUUAAACUGAUACAGUGCUAUAUAUCAAUUAUAUCUCAAUAAAACUGAGGGGAAAAGGCAUCUCUAAGUGUGCCGACACAUCACACUUAGAGUCAACAAAUGAUAAAGUCAAGAGAAAAAGAGGAAGUCAAAAGGGAAAAAAGUCAAGGGAAAAAAAUACACAUGUAUACAUAGGUAUUCAUAAAUACAUGAAUACUUACAUAUGCAUAAAAUAUCUUAAAGGAAUACACACAAAAACCUACAACAGUAGUUGCUCUUGAGGAGGAGUGAUCUGAGGAACAAGGGACAGGGCAGGCGGAAAACUGACCAUUCAUUUUUAGCCCUUCUGUAUUAUUUGAAAUAUACACCAUGUGCAUGAUUACCUAUUUAAAAUGGGUGAAUGCAUGCACGCAUAAAUGAAUGAAAUAACAAAAUCUCCUUAGGAACUUCACAGGACUUGCUUUUGCAACACUUCAGGUAUUGAAAGGGAUAGCAGUGGCCAGUGUCCCAGAGUCUGGGGGUAAUCUAUUCCAAUCCUCAGAAGCUAUGAAUCCAUUUGCAAGUUCAGCCCCUGAAGUCCCACUGACCCCAGUUGAACUUUCACCCUUGGCCUCCCGAACUACUAGGGUCAGCUUUCCACAGAGUCUGGGCUCUUAAAAUGGUGCUUGAGAAUUACCUGGGGAGCUUAUUAGCUGGGUAACUUCCCAGCCUCACCUCCAGAGACUCAGAUUCCAACCUGUGGUGCAGCCAGGGGCUCCUUACCACCGCCUGGAGUGAAACUUCUAAAGGCCCUUUGGAGAAACAGACCCUGCUGAUGUCUGCCUCUGUUCAGGCCUGACUGGGAGACUGAAGGAUUGGGGAAGACAGCUGUUUUGAAACGUGAAUCCUCUCCCGCAAUAUUGUUCAUAUUCAUCUUCUUUACCCCAUACCCACCUAACCAAAAAUGGAAAGCACCAAUCCCUCUGGGUGCAGGAUUAUCCUGGAGAGCUGAGACACAGCAAGGGUGCACUGCCAACUGCCUGAAGGCAGUGUCCUGUUGGCCUUUCUGGCUCCCCAGCCGGCUCCUUUAAAAUAAAUAAUGCAUGCAUGCAUACAUGCAUACAUAUAUACAUACGCAAGCAGGUUACCCUCUAGGCUCUGGUGAGGUUUUUUUCAAAUUGCAAAUUACAAAUCAGAACUUUGGUCUGCCAGUGGGACAGACUCUUUGAAGUAAGGACUUCUCCACAUAUCCGGGAGUGACGGUUCCUGCCAGUCGCCCGACAAGUGGCUGGAAUCUCUUUUGGGGGGAAGGGUCUGGUCUUGAGCCCCAUCCCGCGAGGGUCCCAGGCUGCCUGGAAGAUGAGCAGAUGCCGGGGCGCCCCGGCCGCCCCCGGAGGCAGCCGAUUCUGCCUCGGCAGAGAGCUGGAGACCGAAGUCCCGGAGAAACCCCCACCCCCCCGCCCACCGGACCCCGC